rnacentral:tRNA from 1 species
ACAGAUAUAAGUUAAGUAUAAACUAUUGGUCUUCAAAACCAAAAAUUUUAAUCUGGA